UCCCGGCAGGCCCCGCGGCGGGGCCCCGGCCCGCUCCGUCGAGACGCACGGCGAGAGUCCUGCCUCCGGCGCCGGCCGCCUUCCUCCGCGGGCCUCGGCUAGCCCGGGCUCCCUCCCGGCGGCCACCGCAGCCGGACCUUCCCCCAGGCUCACCUCGCUGGAUGGAACAGGUGUACAGGGAGCCAGGAGGAAGGGGCGGGCUCCGGCUCUGUUCUCUUAUAUAAAAAAGCACCAGUGUCCUGGACUGGACACCCACUGCUGGAGGAGAUGCAGGGGGGCCCAGGGCCUGAUCGUCACCGACUGAUAUCCCGACUGGAGUCCCACAACUUGGUGUUGGGUGGCUCAGCCCGAAGGCGGGCGAAGAAAGGAUGCUGAAGGGCUUCACCCAAGGUCAGCCGCUUAGCAGGUUCAUACUCUAGCAUGCUUUCAAUCAGAUCGAAGAGCUGGUGGUGUUCCUCGGCCUCUGAGGUCAGAUACCGCUGGUGAUGGAGGGCAGGAAAAAGGUGAGGAGGCACAAUGCCUUACAAGUCCUGCCUCUUCUUCAAGGCCCUAGCUUUCCAUCUCGGAGGACCAAGGCUCUGCCAUUACCCAUACUAUUACAAAUACCACCUUACCAGGAGCACACCGUCACCAGUGUUUGUGGUAUGACUGUUUGACUUACCUUCCCACUAGCACAGUUACUUCCUUCAUACUCUUUGAAAGUUCUAUGUGUAUAUCUUUGUCAAUUUCAUGAAUCUUCUUUAGCUCCUCAUUAAAAUGUGAGCUCUUCAAA